rnacentral:rRNA from 1 species
AUUGAACGCUGGCGGCAGGCCUAACACAUGCAAGUCGAACGAGUGGCGGACGGGUGAGUAAUGUCUGGGAAACUGCCCGAUGGAGGGGGAUAACUACUGGAAACGGUAGCUAAUACCGCAUACCAUCGGAUGUGCCCAGAUGGGAUUAGCUAGUAGGUGGGGUAACGGCUCACCUAGGCGCCGAUCCCUAGCUGGUCUGAGAGGAUGACCGGCGACACGGGAACUGAGACAGGGUCCAGACUCCUAAGGGAGGCAGCAGUGGGGAAUAUUGCACAAUGGGGGCAAGCCUGAUGCAGCCAUGCCGCGUGUAUGAAGAGGGCCUUCGGGUUGUAAAGUACUGUCAGCGAGGAGGCGUUACUCGCAGAAGAAGCACCGGCUAACUCCGUGCCAGCAGCCGCGGUAAUUC